rnacentral:rRNA from 1 species
AUUGAACGCUGGCGGCAGGCUUAACACAUGCAAGUCGAGCGGGGGAAGGUAGCUUGCUACCGGACCUAGCGGCGGACGGGUGAGUAAUGCUUAGGAAUCUGCCUAUUAGUGGGGGACAACAUCUCGAAAGGGAUGCUAAUACCGCAUACGUCCUACGGGAGAAAGCAGGGGAUCUUCGGACCUUGCGCUAAUAGAUGAGCCUAAGUCGGAUUAGCGAGUUGGUGGGGUAAUGGCUCACCUAGGCGACGAUCCCUAGCUGGUCUGAGCGGAUGAACAGCCACCCUGGAAUUGAGACACGGUCCAGACUCGUACGGGAGGAAGGGGUGGGGAGUAUUGCACAAUGGGCGCAAGCCUGAUGCAGCCAUGCCGCGUGUAUGAAGAAGGCCUUCGGGUUGUAAAGUACUUUCAGCGGGGAGGAAGGCGGUGAAGUUAAUAGCUUCACCGAUUGACGUUACCCGCAGAAGAAGCACCGGCUAACUCCGUGCCAGCCGCCGCGGUAA